rnacentral:lncRNA from 1 species
UGAGACUGAUGCAAAAUCCCAGGCAGUGACGUUCUAGUGACUCAGCCCAGUGGGCGGAAGUGAUUUUAAAUAAUGACAGUAUCAACCGUCUUCCUCCUCCUGCUCCUUCUGCCACGGAACACAAACUCUCUGGUCCUGCACCCACUGAGUCAGCUACUCUCUGCGGGCCUGAAACGCAGGCAGCGCUACACAGAAAGAAUCUCAAUGAUCUGGUCUACUGUGUACAACAUGAACAUUUCUGAGAACCUUCGAGAGCCCCAGGAAGCAAGUUGCCUUCAUGGGUCAAGAUCAGAGCUGAGGAAAACAUUCUGUUCCACAUCUUGAGCUUUGCCUUAGAAACCCAAGCCCCGCACUCUGGGCUCCCAGCAUUGUAAACUAGCAACCUUUGUUCAAAAGCCUCAGCCAAAAUGUAUUCCCUCUGUUUCAGUUCUCUUUUCACCAGAUCAUGUUCUUAAAGGUGUCUGCCAAGACUCAAACCACUCUUGAGAUUUAUAUGCUGUCAAAACUUUCAUGGGUUCCAGGUGAAGGCACACUUAGAGAGAGCUGAUGCAUGGAAAUGGGACCAUUUGUCUGAAUAGAGCACUAUUCAAAUCCAUAGAAAACGCUCUUUCUCCAAACUCAGGAAGAAGUUGCAUUCUGUCCUUCCUUUCUUCUAAAGAGAAGUAAGAGUCUGUGUGUCUUGACUAAAAUGUCCAGGAUCUAAUCUUUCUCUUCCUGACAUUUAGAGUAACCUUUGAUGAAUUACUCAACCUUUCCUCAUUCGAGAUGAAGAGGAAGUGCAGAGGACAAUUAUUAAUUCAGCCACUACAAUGUUAGAAGACAUAGAUAAUGAUGACUCUAAAGGUCCUUAAAAAUAUGUAAUGCUAGGUGGAUACUUAAUCAAAACCUUCUCUGGGUUUUCAAAAUUCUCUUUGGAAUUAGUUCUGUGUGAAUAUGCCUCUCUGGAUCUAUUCUCAUCUCCAGUUGAGUACCCCUCCUUUCAAACUCUCAUGAUCUACAAUUUGAAGUUGUUCUGACAAAAAAAUCACCUGCCCACUGCAUCAUCACCAGAUUUUCCUCUCCAGGCCAUUUCCAAAAGAAUGGGUCUCAUAUUCCUUUGUGAGAGAACAAGCUGGUUAUUCCUUACAUCUAACAAGCGGUACUUUACAGAAAGGAAGUGUAAUGAAAUCAGAAGCUUGGAAAUACAUGUAAUGGCUUUGUCUCAUGUUUUUAUUUGGGGUAUAAUAAAGUGCCACAGACAUUAAUCCA